UAUUGCAAUUAUGUGUAGGUUUUUAAUAGCUUUUUGUAUUUAUAUAUAAAGCUAUUAAAAACCUACCCAUAAUUGCAAUAA
rnacentral:miRNA from 1 species